AAAAAAACAAAAAACAGAUCUGGAGAAGGAGCAGCUGGGAGGAGGAGCCUGACUUUCUUAGCAAAACCAGUUCCUUUGCUUUCCCAUGUGGUUGGCCUCAGCCUUGUCUUUUAAGUUAAGUGAUGGGGCUAAAAAAAGUAAUGAGCCCCAGGAAGACCUGGGGUCCAGUCCCUGAUCUGCCACUUCAUUGCCUCACAACCUUGGGGAAGUCAUUUAUCCUCUCUGAGCCUCAGUUUCCUCAUUUGCAAAUUUCAAAUAACCAUCCUUCUGUAACUGACAAGGUUGUUGUAAGACUAUAAAGCACAUGUUAUUUUAUUUGUGUCUAUAUAAGGAAUAAUUAUUAUUGAGCUGCAUCAUAUGAAACUUCAAUUUUUGAAAGUCAAAAACAGUCAAACGUUGGUAAUUUUAAAUCAUUUGCUACUAUUUCAAGUAAAAGGAAACCCUGCAGAUGGUGCUUAUGCCAGAGGAGAGAAUAUUAUCCAGGGGGCAAUGGAAAGCUUCUGAAUGAGUUGUAUAAAUUGUUACAGGACUAUAAUAGAGAGAAAGAAUAGGCUUAAGUAUUAUCUUAGACAUGCACAGACAUUCCCAUGAUGGCUGAAUGUUCCCAUUUUAGCUGGAUGCUUAGUUUUGCACAAUUGUAGAGAAAAUCAACAAAAUAGUUUGUCAUCUCUUUUAACGUUCUGGGGUAGCCUCGAUGAAAACCUAGAGCAGUCGUUCUUGACCUUGUCUGUAAGUUAGGAAACACUGGGAAGCUUUAAAAAAAUCUUAACCCCCCAUAUCCAGAUCAAUUAGAUGACCAUUUCUGGGUGUUGGGGGCUGAAUUUCACCCUCUCAAAAUUCAUACACUGAUGUCCUAAUCCCCUGUACUUCAACAUGCCAACCAAAACCUGCCAGCACCUUAAUCUUGGACUUUCAGCCUCCAGAACUGUGAGAAAAUAAAUUUCUGAUUUUUAAGCCACCUAUUCUGUGGUAUUUUGUUAUGGUAUUCCUAGCAAAUUAAUACAGAUUUGCAGAAUGGGAUGUGACAUCAGGAAUUUUUCAGGCAUCCCAUGUGAUUUUAAG
rnacentral:lncRNA from 10 species